AGUUUCAAAAUUGUCUUUCCUGACCCCUGACAUCGGAUACUUCAGAGGGCCCCUGGAAUGUCCAGAAAAGAGAGGUAAACAGGAUUAUUGGACGGGUUUAGAUACAUGGGAUUGACAAAAUGAUGUUCAUUCUUCUUUAGGUUACAUUUUUGGUGAAUAAGGCUAAUAUAUGUUCCAAAAUUUAUGAGAAUUCUAAUGUCUAAGUAUAUGCUAUCAAUCAUAAUUAAGGUUGUUAUGUUAAGUUGUUGUAAACCACAGAGAUGGCCAAACUUCUUUGUCAAUUGUGUUGCUAGCUGUAACUACCCUGGACAUUUUGCUAUUCACAGACAAUUGUUGUCUUGUUUUAAUCCUUUUCAAAAGAUGGUUCGUAAUAAGCUAUAGAAAUUUAACAGAUCCUCUAAAAUACAGGCUUCUGAUAACUUUGGAAAUUGUAACAUUGGAAUAAAGGAAAACAUACAGGACUCGUGAACAGCUGAAAUGUUCAUGAAUAUUAAGCAAAACAAGAGUCAACUAAAUGGACUAAACUCAGAAACUGAAUGGAGCAAAUCUUUCUGACUUUUGCUUGAAAUAUUGCUGAUCCUUGUUAUGUUUUUCAGAGUCAAAGAAACUUAUUUUAAACUAUUUAUGGCCUUUAAUUAUUAAGAUACACUCCUAGAUCAAAAUUUGGAGCAUGUUUGUUUCUCUCUGCCUGCUUCCCUUAGAAUUUGGAAAGUAUCUGUGAGUAUUCUUAACUUACAGCAAUAUAGUUGUUUGCAUCAGUGCAAUAAGAAUCCAUCUUUCUUUUGCAACAGAACGCAAUUGGAAAAACUGGUCAUUUCACCAAGGCUUUGACUGGAAGGGUAUGCUUCCCUUUAAGGAGUCAAUCUCGACUUGCAGAGCCAAUAAAAGCCCAGUGGGGAGACUGGCCUCAUAACUUUGUCUAUGCAGUCCCUGUACAGGGUUCCUGAUGUGUGGUCAGUAAUGAUUGUCACUUUCUAACAGGUCCAGGAGCUCCAAGUUUAUCUUGGGACCUUAUGAGGAGAGGAUGACCCCACUCACAGGUAUUUGAGGAUACUAACCCAUGGCUGGGCUCAGUUUUAAAAUACCUUAUCUGAGACUCCUUGUGGAACAAAGUUCCAUCAAAGCCAAUCCAAAAGGCCUAUGUAGAAAUGAUUAUUCUUGCUGCACUUUAUGUAAAUAAUCAGGCCAAGUGUAAAACCAAAGUCUAUUUUUCAAACAACCCAGUCCCAUUAUGAUUUGUUUUUUUUAAACAAACAUGAGGACUGGAGAGAGUAAAAUUAUAUUCCAAACUUUCUCAUACAUUUGUCAUUAAAUUCUAAACUAACUAAUUGUUUUUAAGUUUUCUCCUACAUUUUAGACUAAUCCUGCUUGUUCCUGUGAACCAACCAGCAAUCUCUGGCUGCAGCUCAGAAAGAACAAAAGGGGAUGGGUAAUGUAGAAAUCCUGAUCAAUAUUCUAGUUCUGUGCAAUUAUCCUGCAAAUCUUGCCAGGUGAUGGAAUACAUAGGGAAUAAAUAGGAUCCCAUCACUCAGAGGUUUCCUUUUGGGGAAGUAAGACCAAGGGAGCUAACCAAAGCCAGACACCAUGCACCCAAAUCCUAGCAAGCAUAACUAUAGCUACCAGUUAUCUGGGGGUGUCAUAAGACAUCCUUUCUCACCCUCGGAGGAGGACUUAGUUCCACAGUUUCAUCAUAGCAUUUGGCUUAUGAUAAGGAGUCCACGCAACUUUCCCCGAGACACAUUUUUGUCCCAGACUCAAUUACAGGCUUUGGGUUAAAGCCCUAGAAAGAAAAUUGGAUAUAAAGGAUCCAGAGGCAGACAACAACAGAGGUUAAAAGGCACAGCACAGGGGAGCAUGGCUGAUUCCUGUUGAUUAAGCCAACCCCAAACUUCCUGUUUCAUGGAUAAAGGCCACAUUAAUAUCCAUGGUGUAAAUGAGGUCUAGGGCACUCCAAGGCUACUGACAGUAGCAGUGAUAGAGGCAUAGGUGAGAGCAGAUAAUUCCUAUUCUCUAGGCCUUCCCUGCUUCAUGUGUGCAAGCUGCUUUGGCACUCAUGGCGGGACCUGCCUAGGUCACAGGGACUUGGAGAUGCAAGGAUGGAAGAGGAAAAGAGGACACUCUUCCUUUUCUCCCUCAUGUACCCCAGGUAUCUGCUAGGAAGAAAAGGGAGCCAGGGAUGCCUGCUCCCCUCUUUCUAGAUGGGUAGCUAUUAAUCUUCAGUAUGUACCCCUUUUGAAUACAUCCUGAACCCCGGGGACUCCCUUAAAAAAAUGCCUUUUUGAGCUUACCCUUCCUAUUGUUUUGUUUUGAUACAUGUUUUCUAAUAACCCGGUUUGUCUGUUCUUAGACCAUCAAACUCCAAAUGGUCAUGCAACCAGAGCCUCUGACGAUGGCCCCUUCUGCUGGGAACCCUUAAAUAGGCCUCUGAGGAAGCUCUGACUGCCAUUUCCCCAAAAGCUCUGACUGCCGUUUCCCUGUCAGCAGGAAGCAGUGGAAUCUCAUUCUGUUACCGAGGCUGCAGUGCAGUGGCAUGAUCUCGGCUCACUGCAAGCUCCACCUCCCGAGUUCACGCCAUUCUCCUGCUUCAGCCCCUCGAGUAGCUGGGACUACAGGCGCCCGCCACCACACCCGGCUA
rnacentral:lncRNA from 10 species